rnacentral:rRNA from 1 species
GACGAACGCUGGCGGUGUGCCUCACACAUGCAAGUCGAACGGGGUAGCAAUACCCAGUGGCGGACGGGUGAGUAACACGUGGGAAUCUGCCUCAGAGUGGGGGAUAACUGACCGAAAGGUUAGCUAAUACCGCAUACGUCGCAAGAUAAAAGGAGUAAUCCGCUAUGAGAUGAGCCCGCGUCCGAUUAGCUAGUUGGUAGGGUAAAGGCUUACCAAGGCUACGAUCGGUAGCUGGUCUGAGAGGAUGAUCAGCCACAAUGGAACUGAGACACGGUCC